AAUUUGCCUAUUCGCUUAUCUUCUAAGAAAUGGCAGAAGGUUUUCCCUCCAUUAUUGUUCCUGGAAUCAUUGAGCAUUUGGACGCGCAGACGGUGAAAAAGCUCGGAUUAUUAUCGUCGUGUGUCAAAGAUUUUGAAAAGCUGAAGGACAUUGUUUUAGAAUUACAACCUGUGCUUCUGGAUGCCGAGGAGCAACAAGCCGCGAACGAUGAAAUCAAAGCCUGGCUCGAGAAGCUAACAGAUAUCUUAUAUGAAGUGGAGGAGUUGCUGGAUGAUUUAUCCACCAAAGCUCUUCGGAAAGAACUCGUGACCCGAAAAAAGAAGGCAAAACAGGUGUGCAUCUUCUUUUCCAAAUCGAAUCAACUUGCAUUUAACCGUAGAAUGGGUCCUAAGAUUAAGACUAUUCUAAACAAUUUAGAUCACAUUGCAAACGACAUGAGGAAGUUUCAUUUUGAGGAACGCCAUGGAAAGAUACCAGUAGAAGAGAAUAGGGAGAGGGAUCAUAAUGCUUUUUGUCCAGAAGUACUUAUUGGUAGAGAUACGGAGAAAAAGGCAGUUGUUGACUUUUUAAUGGACUCCAAUGUUAAGGAGAACGUUUCAAUACUUCCGAUUGUUGGAACCGGAGGAAUGGGAAAGACAACACUAGCUCAGUUCGCAUUCAAUCACGAGAGAAUCCAAGAAUAUUUUCAGCUAAAAAUGUGGGUGAAUGUCAUGUCAUGUGUCUCUCGUGAUGACGUUGGUAUGGAAAAAACAAUCGUUAGAAAAAUCCUAGAAUCUGCCAGAAAUGAGAAAGUAACAUUAAAUCCUUUUAUGAAUCCUUUUAUGAUUUUUGAAAAAGAAAUUUAUGGUAAGAAGUACCUACUUGUCUUGGAUAAUGUGCGCAUCAAUGAUCGUGAAAAAUGGUUACGCUUGAAACGAGGUCUGAUAGAGCAAUAUGGUGCAAGAGGCAGCAAAAUUUUAGUAACUACACGUAGUGAAGAGGUUGCCGAUACUAUGUGCACAGUUAAACCCUAUUACUUGAGAGGUUUAGAUGAAGAUGACUCAUGGUAUUUAUUUAAACGGGUGGCGUUUAAAAAUGGCCAAGAGCCAGACGAUGAGGACGGAAUUGUGAAUGUGGGAAAGGAGAUUGUGAGAAAAUGUGAAGGAGUCCCUCUCAUCAUAAUAACAAUUGGAAGGUUAUUGUAUUUCAAAAAUUCAGAAACAGAGUGGUUGUCUUUUAUGAAUAAUGAACUUUCAAGAAUACAUCUAAAUGAAGAAGCUGACAUCUUAGCAACUCUUAAGUUGCUGAUUUACGAUCAACUUCCGCAGCAUUUGAAACAAUGUUUUGCUUAUAGUUGUUUAUUUCCAAAGAAUUACGAGAUUGAUAAAUCAACAUUGAUUAAUCUUUGGAUAGCACAAGGAUUUAUAAAGUCGUCAAAUGAAGAAGAUGAAUGCCUUGAAGAUGCUGGUCAUGAAUACUUUAUGGAUUUAAUUUCGAGAUUUUUCUUUGAAAAAGUCACAACAGAUUGGUCGGGUGAAGUCACUAGCUGCAAAAUGAAUGACCUCAUGCAUGAUCUUGCUAUGUUGAUUGCAGGACCGUCAGUAACCACAUUAAACUCUUUUACAUAUGAAGAGGACGUUAACAAGAGCACUCGUCAUCUAUGGGUUGGUUACGAUAUAGAAUAUUACUUAUAUCUCGCACGUUUAAUUUCUAAAGCAAAAUGUAGACUGCGAACAUUUCUUUCACCAAGUGACAGUGAACCUAAGGGCAUGACAGAAUGUGAUGCAAUUUUUUCAAGCUUCAAAACGUUGCGCGCAUUGCAAUUGGGUAGUAGAAACCUAGAUGGUUUACCGUCAAGCUCGAUUUGUAAGUUGAAUGGUUUAAGAUAUCUUGAUCUUUCUGGAAUGUACAUGAUGAAGAAGUUACCAGAUUCUAUAACCAGCUUGCAGAAUUUGCAGACGUUAAAACUGUGCAAUUGUAGUUGGUUUGAAGAAUGGCCGAGAGACUUUUCAAGAUUAGUCAACCUCAGGCAUCUUGACAUCAAUGGAUGUUGGAAACUGACUUAUAUGCCACGUGGAUUAGGCCAAUUGACUAAACUUCGGUCAUUAUCAGACUUCCUGGUAUCCCCCCUGGAUUCUCUCAACAUGCAUAGCGGUGGACUAAAUGAAUUAAAUGGACUAAAUUGCCUAAGAGGUGAUUUACAGAUUAGAAAUUUGGGAUGUGGGAAACAUGAUGUUAAAGAUUACAGGGCUGCAAAUCUGAAUGAGAAAGAAAAGAUUCGUUCUCUAAAAUUAUAUUGGGAGGAUUCAUUUGGGUUGAGGGAUGAUACCCUCGCUGGAAAAAAAUUGAAAGCCUUAGAACCUCACCGCAAUCUUAAAAGGCUUCAAUUAAGCGGUUACAAAGGUGCGGAGUUUCCGAGUUGGCUUUCGUCGCUCACAAAUCUUGUUGAAUUUCAAUUAUCCAAGUGUGAAAAACUGAAAUGUUUGCCACCAUUGAGUGAACUGCCCUCUCUUAAGCGUCUGUUUCUUAAAUACUUGGAGGGUAUUGAGUACAUGUCAGAUAGUGAUGAUGAGUAUACUGGGACAUUCUUCCCAUCCUUAGAGGAACUUCAACUCUAUUAUUGCCCUAAUCUCAAGGGGUGGAGGAGGGAAGAGCCUCGUUUACUCCCUUCAUUUCCUUGUCUUUCAGAACUAUCCAUCUCGGGUUGCACCGAGCUGGAUUCCAUGCCGACGUUUCCAUGUCUUGAAGAAGAGUUGGUCCUGUCAAAUGUCAGAUGGAAGCCAAUGCAAAUGACAAUGAUGAUGAAUAUGGGCUCCUCUACAUCUGUCUCUUCUUCAUUUGCACCUCUCUCAAAAUUGAAGCAUCUACGACUACAUAGGAUAGAAGAUCUACAUAUUCUCCCAGAGAAGGGACUGCAAAACCUGAAUUCUCUCAAGUCUUUGCAUAUAGUCAACUGCCAUAGAUUAAAGUCUUUGUCUCAAGGUAUUCAAUAUCUCACUGCACUUCAAGAACUGAGGCUUAAGCAUUGCCAUAAUCUCUAUAUAGGUGGCAAUGAUGAGGUUGAGAUGGGAUGGAAAGGCCUUGAGAGCCUCCACUCUCUGGAUUUCAUUGGACUUCCCAAAUUGGAGUCUCUGCCAUCAGGUCUUGAACAUGUUACCACUCUGAAAAUGUUACAGAUUUCGGGCUGUUCCUUGUUGACAGCCAUACCAGAAUGGAUCCGGAACUGGACAUCACUGCAAGAAUUUGAAAUUUCGAAUUGCCCUAAUUUAACUUUGCUUCCCGAGGGAAUGCGUCUGUUGAAGACUUUGAAAAUGUUGGCAAUUAGACAGCACUGUCCCUUAUUGUUGCCAAGAUGCGAGGCACACACAGGAGAGGAUUGGCCAAAGAUUGCUCACAUUCCUGAAUUGUACUUGGAUCGGUCCUCCAUGCCCAAGGAGGAAGUGAUGGAGAACGUUGGAAAAAAGUUUAAUGUUUAUUAUAAUUAUAUGUCUUAGCAGUUUUAAUUUGCAAGAAGUCAACAAUUUAGCGGAAAAACAAUAAGAAGGUGAAAGAAGAAAAUGAGGAAAUUUAGGAUAAGAGGCCGGAGGAAUGGACUCUGGGCAGAGGCAACAAAGGUUGUGGAAUUUGAGGACUACUAGAACCUCAUGUGAGGUCAAUAAGGUUGAGAAGUCAGAGGAGGAUAUGCCACCAACAUCUUUUGUUAGAACUGUGAAUCGGCCACUUCAACAAUUUCAUAAGUGCUUGCAUUUCUGUUAGCAUGACAAAUUUUAAGGAAAGAUUAAUUUGGUUCACCUGGUGGAGCAUAUAUGAAGAUGAUGACUACAACAUGAUGAUGCAACCAAGUGCUUGGGACUUCUGUAUUACUGCUUUGCAUGAACAUCGUUUGGCAUCAAUGAUUUUACAGUUGGAUGUUGUAUAGAAAAGAAAGGAUUUCCGACUAAAAAAUGGAGGAAAAUCUUCUUGGUUUGCUUCAAAGAUUCAUAUAAAUGCUUGUGACAAAAAGAAUGAUGGAGAUACAAAAUGGUAUCGAGUGCUGAUUUCUGCUAGUGGAAGUACCAACAUUUGCCUACCCAAGUUUAAGAAACUUCAAAUUCAUCAGAACAUGAAUUUGCAAUUCGAAAUUUUUCUUUUAGUUUGUGGUGUGUUGAAUUCAUAGAUACCUUCAAGUAUUAUCUUCACUUUGAAUUGUUUGAUUAUUUGAAUUCCACUGGGCACAAGUUUUCU